AACGAACGCUGGCGGCAUGCCUAACACAUGCAAGUCGAACGAGAUCUUCGGGUCUAGUGGCGCACGGGUGCGUAACGCGUGGGAAUCUGCCCUUUGGUUCGGAAUAACAGUUGGAAACGACUGCUAAUACCGGAUGAUGACGAAAGUCCAAAGAUUUAUCGCCAGAGGAUGAGCCCGCGUAGGAUUAGCUAGUUGGUGGGGUAAAGGCGCACCAAGGCGACGAUCCUUAGCUGGUCUGAGAGGAUGAUCAGCCACACUGGGACUGAGACACGGCCCAGACUCCUACGGGAGGCAGCAGUGGGGAAUAUUGGACAAUGGGCGAAAGCCUGAUCCAGCAAUGCCGCGUGAGUGAUGAAGGCCUUAGGGUUGUGAAGCUCUUUUACCCGGGAUGAUAAUGACAGUACCGGGAGAAUAAGCUCCGGCUAACUCCGUGCCAGCAGCCGCCGUAAAAC
rnacentral:rRNA from 1 species